GCCCUGCUGGUAACAGCGUCACACUGAUGGCUUAUGUUCAUACUGUGGUCUAUUAUUACCCCCAGGUCUCUUUCGUUCGUGGUGCUGGUCAGCUUGGUGCCUCCAAGCCUGUAGGUGUGCAGCUAUGACCCU